GACAGAGGGUGCAAACGUUGUUCGGAAUUACUGGGCGUAAAGCGCGUGUAGGCGGCUAUGCAAGUCGGAUGUGAAAGCCCUCGGCUCAACCGGGGAAGUGCACCCGAAACUGCAAAGCUAGAGUCUCGGAGAGGGAUCGUGGAAUUCUCGGUGUAGGAUGGUGAAAGUUCGUAAGAUAUCUGGAGGAAUACCGGUGGGCGAAGGGCGGCAAUC
rnacentral:rRNA from 1 species